rnacentral:rRNA from 1 species
ACUCCACGGGAGGCAGCAGUGGGGAAUUUUGGACAAUGGGCGCAAGCCUGAUCCAGCCAUGCCGCGUGAGUGAAGAAGGCCUUCGGGUUGUAAAGCUCUUUCAGCCGGGAAGAAAACGCAUGGGUCAAUACCCUGUGUGGAUGACGGUACCGGAAUAAGAAGCACCGGCUAACUACGUGCCAGCAGCCGCGGUAAUACGUAGGGUGCGAGCGUUAAUCGGAAUUACUGGGCGUAAAGCGUGCGCAGGCGGUUUUGUAAGACAGGCGUGAAAUCCCCGGGCUCAACCUGGGAACUGCGUUUGUGACUGCAAGGCUAGAGUAUGGCAGAGGGGGGUGGAAUUCCACGUGUAGCAGUGAAAUGCGUAGAGAUGUGGAGGAACACCGAUGGCGAAGGCAGCCCCCUGGGCCAAUACUGACGCUCAUGCACGAAAGCGUGGGUAGCAAACAGGAUUAGAUACCCUGGUAGUCCACGCCCUAAACGAUGUCAACUAGGUGUUGGGUGGGUAAAACCAUUUAGUACCGGAGCUAACGCGUGAAGUUGACCGCCUGGGGAGUACGGCCGCAAGGUUAAAACUUAAAUGAAUUGACGGA